GAUGAACGCUGGCGGCGUGCCUAAUACAUGCAAGUCGAGCGAACGGACGAGAAGCUUGCUUCUCUGAUGUUAGCGGCGGACGGGUGAGUAACACGUGGAUAACCUACCUAUAAGACUGGGAUAACUUCGGGAAACCGGAGCUAAUACCGGAUGAUAUUUUGAACCGCAUGGUUCAAAAGUGAAAGACGGUCUUGCUGUCACUUAUAGAUGGAUCCGCGCUGCAUUAGCUAGUUGGUAAGGUAACGGCUUACCAAGGCAACGAUGCAUAGCCGACCUGAGAGGGUGAUCGGCCACACGGGAACUGAGACACGGUCCAGACUCCUACGGGGAGCAGCAGUAGGGAAUCUUCCGCGAUGGGCGAAAGCCUGACGGAGCAACGCCGCGUGAGUGAUGAAGGUCUUCGGAUCGUAAAACUCUGUUAUUAGGGAAGAACAUAUGUGUAAGUAACUGUGCACAUCUUGACGGUACCUAAUCAGAAAGCCUCGGCUAACUACGUG
rnacentral:rRNA from 1 species